rnacentral:rRNA from 1 species
UACGAAGGGGGCUAGCGUUGCUCGGAAUCACUGGGCGUAAAGCGCACGUAGGCGGAUUGUUAAGUCCUGCGUGAAAUCCUGCGGCUCAACCGCAGACGGUCGUGGGAAACUGGAAGGCUAGAGUGCGGGAGAGGAGAGUGGAAUUCCCGGUGUAGCGGUGAAAUGCGCAGAUAUCGGGAAGAACACCCGUGGCGAAGGCGGCUCUCUGGAACGCAACUGGCGCUGAGACGCGAAAGCGUGGGGAGCAAACAGG